GGCCUGUUGGCCCAAUGGCAAGGCGUCUGACUACGACUCGUGAUCUUCUCAUGAGAAUCCGGAAUCAGGAGAUUGCAGGUUCGACCCCUGCACAGGUCA